AUUGAACGCUGGCGGCAGGCCUAACACAUGCAAGUCGAACGAGUGGCGGACGGGUGAGUAAUGUCUGGGAAACUGCCUGAUGGAGGGGGAUAACUACUGGAAACGGUAGCUAAUACCGCAUACCAUCGGAUGUGCCCAGAAGGGAUUAGCUAGUAAGUGGGGGAAAGGCUCACCUAGGCGACGAUCCCUAGCUGGUCUGAGAGGAUGACCAGCCACACUGGAACUGGGGCAGGGUCCCGAAUCCUACGGGAGGCAGCAGUGGGAAAUAUUGCACAAUGGGCUCAAGCCUGAUGCAGCCAUGCCUCGUGUAUGAAGAAGGCCUUCGGGUUUUAAAGUACUUUCAGCGGGAAGGCGUUACCCGCAGAAGAAGCACCGGCUAACUCCGUGCCAGCAGCCGCGGUAAUUC
rnacentral:rRNA from 1 species